rnacentral:lncRNA from 1 species
CAAUUCUCUCAAUUCCUGAACCAUUCUUGGAAUGCUUAUAUUCCCAAGCAUUUUCUCAAAUUAUUUCAGCGGUAAUUUUUGGUAUUCUUACUUCUUUGUACAAUUUGUCUGAUUUGGCUGACACCUUGUGGACGUCUCCUCUAAUUUUUUUUUUUUAUCUUAUCUCUUCUGUUUAUUUGCUUUUUUUUUUUUUUCUGGAACAUUUCCUCAAUUUUAUCUCUCAAUCAUUGGUUGAAUUUUUAUUUUGACUACAAAAUAUGUUUAAUAGUAGAUUGUUCUUAUUUUAGGGACCUAAAAUUGUCCUCUUACUUUCCCAAAGAAAGUAAUUAUAGGUUUAAAAUUGUAGUCAUUCUGUUCUCAGGAUUGUCUUUGUUUUCUUCCAAACUUCAAAAUACCUCUCUUUGGUUUUGGUCUUUGCUUUCAUAUUGGACAUCAGCUACUUGUGAUCAUGUGACAGUGCUGGCCAGUGAGCCACAGAGGAAGGCAGCGAAGAACUGGAUGGGAAGCUUUUCCUCUGUGGUCACAGCUUGCCUGCCUGGAGUCUGUCUUCCCUCUUGGCCUCGUCUGCUUUGCAUCUUACCACCGAGUCACACUAAUGACACAGAUGUGGUUAACAGCACAGACCACAGGAUGGUGCAGAGUUUUCUCCUCUUGCUUUGGUGAACUUAAUUUAUUUGUUUAUUUGUUUUAAGGAGGCUUCAUGCCAGCUUGGAGCCCAACACGGGCCUUGAACUCAUGACUCUGAGAUCCUGACUUGAGAUCAAGAGUUGGACGCUAACUGCCUGAGCCCCCCAGGCUCCCCUUCUGGGAACUUUAUUCAGUGAAGCAAGCCCACACCGUGUUUGCUUCAGUGAGGGGAAGCAGCGGUGUGGGGAGUGCAGGAAAUCAGCCUGUCCAUGGUUUUGGUGCAGACUGAGAUCGUAGUAAACUGAACGUCCUAGGCCUUUGUCAUGAGAUCAGCUAUUUUGGUAUACUUGGUAUUCUGAACCUGUGAGCCAGACUUUACAUUUAUCCUGAUUAAAUUUCAAAUGUUAGAUUUUUGUCCAUUAUUCCAGCCUGUCAAGAUAUUUUCCAAUCUUAAUUCAAUCACUGGGGAUAGCGUUUAUCCCUCUGAGCUCCUGAUAAGCCACCAUCUCGGCAUCACAGCAUCGUAGCGACAACACCAGACGGAAAUGGACAGCACCUCUGUGCUCACUGCUGCUGCUCUGCUCAGGUAAAGAAAGAACGGAUGGUGGAAGGAGCGCUAACCAAGGAUUUUUUAAAAAAGAUUUUAUUUAUUUAUUCAUGAGAGAUGCAGAGAGAAAGAGGCAGAGACAUAGGCAGAGGGAGAAGCAGACUCCCUGCAGGGAACUCAAUGCAAGACUUGAUCCCAGGUCUCCGGGAUCGUGAUCUGAGCUGAAGGCAGACUCUCAACCACUGAACUGCCCAGGCGUCCCUAGGAUUUGGUGUUUCAAGGAUAAACUCUUGGAUCCUUUUUCUUGUACUUCUGGCUGUCAGUACUAGCACUCAGUUUCUGGCCCUGCUCCCCAAAGUCUAUGGACCAGAGAUGGGAGUUCCAAAGGAAAGUCCCCAGUGUAAGUUUCUGAGAAGGCCCAGAUAUACUAAACAAAGAAGAGGUGGCUUUCUGGUCACUCUUUUUUUUUUAAGAUUUUAUUUAUUUCAGAGAGAGCGAGAGAAUGAGACAGAUCACAGAGGGAGAUGAAGAGGGAGAAGCAGAUUCACUGUCCCUCUGCUCUUUUUUUUUUUUUUUUUUUACUUCCUUUUCUACCCCUGGAGUCCACAACACAGAUUACCAGGAUGGUAGGCUUCUGGAGCUGCAUUAGAGAGUGUACUAGAAAUCAGCCACCUAGUUGUCCAAGUAGGUAGACGAAGGAUCAGUGAAAUUAUGUUCCUGGCCUUGUGCACCCUGGAAGAGGGCAACAGAGCCAGGACCAGAACCCCCAUCCCCUUGCUCCACACUGAGCCAUGUCAGUCAGGUAAUCAUGAUCAGAUAUGCCUGUCACCACUUCCUAGAGAAUGAAUGUGCAUCCAGAAUCUAGGAGACAACAUUGAUUUCUUUUUAAAAUAUGCAUGGAAGGGGCACCUGAGUGGCUCAAUGGAUUAAGUGUCUGUCUUUGGCUCAGGUCAUUAUCCCAAGGUGCUGGGUUCGAGCCCUUGUCUGUCUCUCCCCUCAGAGGGACUCAGAGGGAGUCCCUCUCCCUCUGCCCCUCCCACUGUUCGUGUGCUCUCUCUCUCACUCUCUUUCUCAAAUAAAUAAAUAAACAAACCCUUUUAAAAAAUAGGCGAGGAUAGGUUAUGGCAUGGAAUGCAAAAAUCACUCGGAGUUUCAAGAUGAAAGAGGAGGAUUCAGAGAAAUGUGCAUUUACUAGUUACUUGGGCCAUAGAUGCCAACUCUCCCCAACAACACAAAGAUAGAUGAUUUUAUCUCAGGAAACAGUUUUGAAGCAGAGAAAUAAGACCUCACAUAGACUUCAUGAAUGUAACAGCACUGCUUAUAGAGAUAGGUCUUUGGGAAGUGCGUAUGGGGGUACCAUCAUUCUUUCCCUGUAUUAUUAUUAUUGGCUAUAUGUAGAGUGUGAUCAAUGCACAGAACAGAAAAGAAUGUGCUUUCUUCUGGGGUGCUGGAGUGACUCAAUUGGUAAAGCGUCUGACUCUUGAUUUUGGCUUGGGUCAUGAUCUCAGGGUCAUGAUCUCAAGGUCAUGACGUCGAGGCCCACAUCAGGCUCUAUGCUCAGCAGGGAGUCUGCUUAAGAUUCUCCCUCUCCCUCUGCCCCUCACCCAACUCACACACUUGCUCUCUCUGUCUCUCAAAUAAAUAAAUUAAUUAAAAAGAAAACAAGAGCGGCGGGACACCUGGGUGGCUCAGUGAUUAAGUGUCUUUGGCUCAGGGCAUGACCCCCCAGGUCCUGGGAUCGAGUCCCACAUCAAGCUCCUCUUGGGGAGCCUGUUUCUCCCUCUGCCUGUGUCUCUGCCUCUCAUGAAUGAAUGAAUCAAUUAAUUAAAAAAGAAAAGAAAAGAAAGAAAAAAAAGAAAGAAAAGAAAAGAAAAGAAAAAAAAGAAAAGAAAAGAAAAUGCUUUCUUCCAGGUAAGAAGCUUUAUGAGGUGGCUGGUAUGCCCCUGAGUCCUCUCUGUGAUAUAUUGGCACAUUCAUUUCACUUUGUGAGGACAUUGGUCAGUCCUUGCUAAAUUCCAAGGAGGCAGAAAGACUACAUGAUUGAGACUCAUUUCCCCUGGCUGUGGACUGACUUUAUUAUCCAUAAUUAACGGUGAGUAACUCGGUGGAUGGUAUCCCUUUGCAGGCAUGAAUUUCUAACCAAGGAACAUCUUUCAGCUCAGAGCGUUAUUCAGUUGAUGUUGCCAUGGGACUGCGGCUGUUUAUUCCCCAGGAUGUUUUCCCAGAGAACUGCGACGUGGCUCUGGUGACGGAAUGGAUCUUUCAUGGCUACAUGAUCUUUUCUUAUUCUCCCUUAUUUAAAAGGAGAAAAGAAAGACCCUCACUAUUUGUAUAACAUUUCCGUGGAUGUGUUAGAAUGCCAGAGGGGAGACCAAUGCCAGAAAUCUUGGCAGGGUAGAGGCCCUUCUGACUGU